GUGCAGCCGCCCCGCCGGCCUGGCGCUGUCCACCCCCACCCCCCACCCGGCGGGUCCCCCCCGGGACGUACCCCCACGGUCUGCACUGCUAGACCCGGGGUGAGCCCGGGUCCAGCAGGCGGCGGCCCCCUGCCCGACCCCCAGGGGUCAGGUGACACGCGGCGGGGCUCCUGCAGUUUAAACGGCGUUUCUUCAGCUCUGCUCCGGGACGGGGUGUUUCUUUUCGAGAACUAAGAAAAUGCAAACCGCCGGUGGCCGGCCUUAAAUAGUUGCAGUGAAAGUUUCGGGACAAACUGAAAAUCAGCCCCAGCCGAGAAACGAAAUUUGAAGCAAUUUUCCUGCAGGGAGAGGGUUUGGGGGGGAGGGCCAAGCCGUGGCUUGCACAGUGUCCGCUACGAAGGAUGCCCCAGGAAAAUAAAAGAGCAACUCGUCCGAAUCUAACUCGAUCGAAUCAAUAGCGCGUUGGGAUACUGGCAAAAAAAAUUAAAGAAACAUGUUUUGGAGGUCGACUUUGCCGUUCACAAAUUCUCACUCAUUCUUGGGGUUUUCCUAGCCACUUUUUCCUGUAAAGACAGAACCAGAAAAUUGUUCAGAAGAAGACCCAGGAAAUUGUUCAAGGGGACUUCCUAAUUUUCUACUGUGAUUGGCUUCAAAGUGGAGGAAAUCGCGGUGGCCUAACCCUGCAGUCACCAUUCUUGCAUGUCAGGAGCGCAUGCAGCAGAAUUGAAGGAAAUUUAACUCCGCAUUCUGCUCUCACCAGGAAAGUGUUUCAGGGGCUGGAGAGAUAAUGCAGCAGCCAGCAAACAUCUUACCUGGUAAGACCUUCCCAGACCCUGAGGAGGCUGGACCCUCCCCAUGAAGUUCCUCAAACCCUCUCAUCUCUCCCUUAAUCUCAUUAAAGUGUGAUCCAGCCCCGAGAAGACUCCAGAACUUUCUGACCAAGACAACCUGAGAAGAGCCUCUAAAGGCCACCUUGAACGAAGGAAGAGCACACACAUGCUGCCUGAGCCUGUGUGCUGCUUGCGCCCGCGUGGCCGAGCACAUGUGGUGCCCGAGCACAUGUGUCGCCCGCAUCUCCCCUCUUGAGGUGUGGCCUUUCACGCUUUCGUGUCUAGUGCUGGGAUGUGUCUAGAGGCUCUCUGCCCGGUUCUCUCUUGAGUGCUUACUCUCUCUCUCCUCAAAAAUCCUCCAAAUAAAAUCGAUUCACUUCA